rnacentral:rRNA from 1 species
UGCAAGUCGAACGAUGAAGCCCAGCUUGCUGGGUGGAUUAGUGGCGAACGGGUGAGUAACACGUGAGUAACCUGCCCUUAACUCUGGGAUAAGCCUGGGAAACUGGGUCUAAUACCGGAUAGGAGCGCCCACCGCAUGGUGGGUGUUGGAAAGAUUUAUCGGUUUUGGAUGGACUCGCGGCCUAUCAGCUUGUUGGUGAGGUAAUGGCUCACCAAGGCGACGACGGGUAGCCGGCCUGAGAGGGUGACCGGCCACACUGGGACUGAGACACGGCCCAGACUCCUACGGGAGGCAGCAGUGGGGAAUAUUGCACAAUGGGCGCAAGCCUGAUGCAGCGACGCCGCGUGAGGGAUGACGGCCUUCGGGUUGUAAACCUCUUUCAGUAGGGAAGAAGCGAAAGUGACGGUACCUGCAGAAGAAGCACCGGCUAACUACGUGCCAGCAGCCGCGGUAAUACGUAGGGUGCGAGCGUUAUCCGGAAUUAUUGGGCGUAAAGAGCUCGUAGGCGGUUUGUCGCGUCUGUCGUGAAAGUCCGGGGCUUAACCCCGGAUCUGCGGUGGGUACGGGCAGACUAGAGUGCAGUAGGGGAGACUGGAAUUCCUGGUGUAGCGGUGGAAUGCGCAGAUAUCAGGAGGAACACCGAUGGCGAAGGCAGGUCUCUGGGCUGUAACUGACGCUGAGGAGCGAAAGCAUGGGGAGCGAACAGGAUUAGAUACCCUGGUAGUCCAUGCCGUAAACGUUGGGCACUAGGUGUGGGGACCAUUCCACGGUUUCCGCGCCGCA